CAGCAGCCACGGGAAUACGUAGGGUGCAAGCGUUAAUCGGAGUUACUGGGCGUAAAGCGUGCGCAGGCGGUUUGUUAAGACAGGUGUGAAAUCCCCGGGCUCAACCUGGAACUGCAUUUGUGACUGGCAAGCUAGAGUAUGGCGGAGGGGGGUGGAAUUCCGCGUGUAGCAGUGAAAUGCGUAGAUAUGCGGAGGAACACCGAUGGCGAAGGCAGCCCCCUGGGCCAAUACUGACGCUCAUGCACGAAAGCGUGGGGAGCAAACAGGAUUAGAUACCCCUGUAGUCCCUGUCUCUUAUACC
rnacentral:rRNA from 1 species